rnacentral:tRNA from 1 species
GCCUGGGUGGCUCAGUCGGUUAAGCUUGUAACUCUGGGUUUCAGGUCAGGUCAUGGUCUCUGGGUCGUGGGAUCGAGUCCCACCUUGGGCU